rnacentral:ncRNA from 1 species
AGUUCUAACGGUAAACUAUGCCAACCCAGCGAUUCGCCGAAGUUCAUUUAAGACUCGGCGAGCAGCUUCCGGGAAACCAAAGUGUUUCGGUUCCGGGGGAAGUAUGGUUGCAAAGCUGAAACUUAAAGGAAUUGACGGAAGGGCACCACCAGGAGUGGAGCCUGCGGCUUAAUUUGACUCAACACGGGAAAACUCACCCGGCCCGGACACUGGAAGGAUUGACAGAUUGACAGCUCUUUCUUGAUUCAGUGGGUAGUGGUGCAUGGCCGUUCUUAGUUGGUGGAGCGAUUUGUCUGGUUAAUUCCGAUAACGAACGAGACUCUACCCUAUUAAAUAGUGACAGUAUUGUAUUUUUUGUGCUGAUCACUUCUUAGAGGGACUGGCAAAUUGAAAGCUGCACGAAAAAGAGCAAUAACAGGUCUGUGAUGCCCUUCGAUGUCCGGGGCUGCACGCGCGCUACAAUGAAAGCGUCAACGUGAGUUACGUCCUUACCUGAAAAGGUUUGGCAAUCGAAUGAAACGUUUUCUUGAAUGGAAUAAGGAAUUGCAAUUGUUUCUCUUGAACGAGGAAUUCCCAGUAAGCGUGAGUCAUUAGCUCGCGUUGAUUACGUCCCUGCCCUUUGUACACACCGCCCGUCGCUACUACCGAUUGGAUGAUUUAGUGAGGUGUUUUGACUGCGCCAGUAGUCGGAUAUGUAUUCGGCUUCGC